rnacentral:rRNA from 1 species
CAGUCGCCGCGGGAAUACAGAGGGUGCAAGCGUUAAUCGGAAUUACUGGGCGUAAAGCGCGCGUAGGCGGUUACUCAAGUCAGAGGUGAAAGCCCGGGGCUCAACCCCGGAACUGCCUUUGAAACUAGGUGACUAGAAUCUUGGAGAGGUCAGUGGAAUUCCGAGUGUAGAGGUGAAAUUCGUAGAUAUUCGGAAGAACACCAGUGGCGAAGGCGACUGACUGGACAAGUAUUGACGCUGAGGUGCGAAAGCGUGGGGAGCAAACAGGAUUAGAUACCCGCGUAGUCCCUGUCUCUUAUAC